rnacentral:rRNA from 1 species
AGAGUUUGAUCAUGGCUCAGAAUGAACGCUGGCGGCGUGCCUAACACAUGCAAGUCGAGCGAGAAAGUCCCUUUCGGGGGGCGAGUAAAGCGGCGCACGGGUGAGUAACGCGUGGGUAACCUACCCAGGAGUGGGGGAUAACCAGCCGAAAGGCUGACUAAUCCCGCAUACGACCAGCAGGCAUAAGUCUGUUGGGGAAAGAUGGCCUCUGCUUGCAAGCUAUCGCUCCUGGAUGGGCCCGCGUUGGAUUAGCUAGUUGGUGGGGUAAUGGCUCACCAAGGCUGCGAUCCAUAGCUGGUUUGAGAGGACGACCAGCCACACUGGAACUGAGACACGGUCCAGACUCCUACGGGAGGCAGCAGUGAGGAAUAUUGCGCAAUGGGGGAAACCCUGACGCAGCGACGCCGUGUGAGCGAUGAAGGCCUUCGGGUUGUAAAGCUCUGUCAGAGGGGAAGAAAGGGGAUAUGGUUAAUACCCAUGUCCAUUGACGGUACCCUCUGAGGAAGCACCGGCUAACUCCGUGCCAGCAGCCGCGGUAAUACGGAGGGUGCGAGUGUUAUUCGGAAUCACUGGGCGUAAAGAGCACGUAGGCGGAUAGGUAAGUCAGAUGUGAAAUCCCGGGGCUCAACUUCGGAACUGCAUUUGAUACUGCCUGUCUUGAGUGUGGUAGAGGGGGUGGAAUUCCCGGUGUAGAGGUGAAAUUCGUAGAUAUCGGGAGGAACACCAGAGGCGAAGGCGACCCCCUGGGCCACUACUGACGCUGAGGUGCGAAAGCGUGGGGAGCAAACAGGAUUAGAUACCCUGGUAGUCCACGCCGUAAACGAUGAGUACUAGGUGCGGGGGGUAUAAACUCCCUCCGUGUCGGAGCUAACGCAUUAAGUACUCCGCCUGGGAAGUACGGUCGCAAGGCUGAAACUCAAAUGAAUUGACGG